GGGUUGUGAGGUUAAGCGACUAAGCGUACACGGUGGAUGCCCUGGCAGUCAGAGGCGAUGAAGGACGUGCUAAUCUGCGAUAAGCGCCGGUAAGGUGAUAUGAACCGUUAUAACCGGCGAUUUCCGAAUGGGGAAACCCAGUGUGACUCGUCACACUAUCAUUAACUGAAUCCAUAGGUUAAUGAGGCGAACCGGGGGAACUGAAACAUCUAAGUACCCCGAGGAAAAGAAAUCAACCGAGAUUCCCCCAGUAGCGGCGAGCGAACGGGGAGGAGCCCAGAGCCUGAAUCAGCAUGUGUGUUAGUGGAAGCGUCUGGAAAGGCGCGCGAUACAGGGUGACAGCCCCGUACACAAAAGCGCAUGUGUUGUGAGCUCGAUGAGUAGGGCGGGACACGUGGUAUCCUGUCUGAAUAUGGGGGGACCAUCCUCCAAGGCUAAAUACUCCUGACUGACCGAUAGUGAACCAGUACCGUGAGGGAAAGGCGAAAAGAACCCCGGCGAGGGGAGUGAAAAAGAACCUGAAACCGUGUACGUACAAGCAGUGGGAGCCCCACCACUAAGCCAGUGGUGAACUCCACAUACGCAUCCUUUGCUGAAGGUGCGGUUAACGGAGCGCAAGCGACGUUCAACCUCAAAAGAAGCAGAGGGGGCUUAGUGGUGGGGUGACUGCGUACCUUUUGUAUAAUGGGUCAGCGACUUAUAUUCUGUAGCAAGGUUAACCGCAUAGGGGAGCCGGAGGGAAACCGAGUCUUAAUUGGGCGUUAAGUUGCAGGGUAUAGA
rnacentral:rRNA from 1 species